CGUGAGAACGUGGAGUAGGAGUUAUCAUCGGUAGUUCUCCCCAUCUCCUCUUCUCUAAAUACUUCUCUUCAGUAUGGAGAUUCUGGUGUGCAAAAAAUUAAAGAAAGGAAGAACACAGUGAACUUUAGACAUUUAGUUUGUGAAUAAAAACUCUGUUUCCUGGAGAUUCAGAAUACGAUUUGGGCAAUUCUUUUGGUGGUGAGUUUAACGGUUUCCGCUGCAUCAAUAAGAUAUGGCUGAAGAAGGACAAGUUCGAAUUACUCCAAGUGGGAGCUCUCGAAGUCAAGAAGAGGACAACGUAGAAGGGUACGUCACCGCAGGACUUAUUUCUAUAAUGAUUCAGACUCGGAGCCUGAAGUCAUCAAUGUCCCAAGGGCGACACAAAAUGAGUUAAGGGAUCGAAGGGUUGAACGAAGGGAAAGAGAAAAGAAAUUUAGGGAGUUUAAGGAAUUUAAAAUGAGCCCUGAUGUUUCCGUUCCUGAUCAUGUACACCUCUUUAAGAUAAAAAAAAGUUGAAUUGGCUAAUUACGAAAAAAUUACUGAUUGGGAAGCAUUAACUAUUUUAGCGGACUCUCUUCGAGAGCCUUGGGGUGAAAUUUUAACUGAGAUUUAUCAUGAUCUUUCGCCUAAUGCACCUUUUAGCGUAUAUGAGUAAGAGUUAGUGUUCGAUUGAUAUAUGGAUGUCCUAGCAAACAUGUAAAUUGUUAUUAUGUGUUCUAUUUUAAUGAAAUUUUAUAUUAUGUUUU